UUUUUGGAGGGGCCAGUCUGGUGCCAGCAGCCGCGGUAAUUCCAGCUCCAAUAGCGUAUAUUAAAGUUGUUGCAGUUAAAAAGCUCGUAGUUGAACCUUGGGCCUGGCUGGCCGGUCCGCCUCACCGCGUGUACUGGUCCGGCCGGGCCUUUCCUUCUGGGGAACCUCAUGCCCUUCACUGGGCGUGUUGGGGAACCAGGACUUUUACUUUGAAAAAAUUAGAGUGUUCAAAGCAGGCCUUUGCUCGAAUACAUUAGCAUGGAAUAAUAGAAUAGGACGUGUGGUUCUAUUUUGUUGGUUUCUAGGACCGCCGUAAUGAUUAAUAGGGAUAGUCGGGGGCAUCAGUAUUCAAUCGUCAGAGGUGAAAUUCUUGGAUUGAUUGAAGACUAACUACUGCGAAAGCAUUUGCCAAGGAUGUUUUCAUUAAUCAGUGAACGAAAGUUAGGGGAUCGAAGACGAUCAGAUACCGUCGUAGUCUUAACCAUAAACUAUGCCGACUAGGGA
rnacentral:rRNA from 1 species